GCCAGGCGUGGUGGUGUGCACCUGUGGUCUUAGCUACUUGGGAGGCUGAGAAAGGAGGAUCACUUGAGCCAAGGAGCUCAGGGCUGCAGUGAGCUAUGAUUGUGCCACUGCACCCCAGCCUGGGCAACAAAGAGAGAUGCUGUCUCUA
ensembl:misc_RNA Metazoa_SRP Metazoan signal recognition particle RNA